GACGAACCGUCCGAACGUUAUUCGGAAUCACUGGGCUUAAAGGGGGCGUAGGCGGCGCGGAAAGUUGGGUGUGAAAUACCUCGGCUCAACCGAGGAACUGCGCCCAAAACUACCGUGCUCGAGGGAGAUAGAGGUGAGCGGAACUUAGGGUGGAGCGGUGAAAUGCGUUGAUAUCCUAAGGAACACCGGUGGCGAAAGCGGCUCACUGGAUCUCUUCUGACGCUGAGGCACGGAAGCUAGGGGAGCGAACGGG
rnacentral:rRNA from 1 species